rnacentral:rRNA from 1 species
GACGAACCGUGCGAACGUUGUUCGGAAUCACUGGGCUUAAAGGGUGCGUAGGUGGCGCGUUAAGUUCGUUGUGAAAUCCCUGGGCUCAACCCAGGAAUUGCUUCGAAUACUGGCGUGCUUGAGGCUAGUAGGGGUCACUGGAACUGACGGUGGAGCGGUGAAAUGCGUAGAUAUCGUCAGGAACGCCGAUGGUGAAGACAGGUGACUGGGCUAGUUCUGACACUGAGGCACGAAAGCGUGGGGAGCGAACGGG